rfam:Mycobacterium ulcerans str. Harvey Harvey.contig.96, whole genome shotgun sequence.
UUUGAUCGAGCCCAGCCACAGGGGCUCUUUGCCGGGCCCGGUACGGUCCUGCCCAUAGGUGGCCAAAAUCGCCUGGGCCUC